rnacentral:tRNA from 1 species
CAGUCCCUGGGCGGCGGCUCCCACGCCGAGGCCGACCAAAGCGGCCUCGGAGAUCGGGGUGUCGAUCAUGCGGCGGGGCCCGA